GCUGUUGUAAUACUGAACCACUAUCGGUGAGAAAAGCAGUUUAGCACUGAAAGAGCUAGCUACCAGUCCCCAUGAAUAUCAGCGAUUUGCAGAAAUAUUGCGUUCCAGUCGUGUAAUGCUAUGUUGGGGUCUGUGUAAUCCUUAAAAUGUAUGAAUGCUUGUCUUAAGUCAUUUUGAAAUUCAUCGACCUUGAGAUUAUUAAAUUGUCUUGUUUCAAUGAUUCUAGGUUUUCCUUUUGGGAUUCCGACUUUUCUGCUAAUAUAUACGAGGUUAUUGGUCGCUUAUGCCAAGAUUGAUAACGCGCAAAGCUAUGGUCUUUAAGUCGCUAGUUUUACAAUUAUCAAGUCUAAUAAUGUUUUAGUUGAUUCUGUUAUUCUUGUUGGUUUAUCUAUUAUUUGUUGUAAUUGAUAUGUAGUUAGUAAUUCAAGAAGCCGUCUUUUAAUGCUACUCUCGUUUUCCUUUGGUAGUAGAUCUAUAUUAAAGUCUCCCGUUAUGACAGUUUCUAUGUUCUCGUUGUCAACGUUUUGGAGAAAGACUUCGAAUCUAUCUCGCCAUUUUGUAUUUGAGUUUGGUGGUCU